rnacentral:sRNA from 1 species
CUUGGUGUGAAUUGCAGAAUCCCGUGAACCAUCGAGUCUUUGAACGCAAGUUGCGCCCGAAGCCUUUUGGCCAAGGGCACGUCUGCCUGGGUGUCACGCAUCGUGUCGCUCCCCUCCUGUUCCUUUGGGGCGAUACUUAGGUGGGGGCGGACAAUGGCCUCCCGUGCAUUAUUGAUGUGCGGCUGGCCCAAAUGAGAUCCUUCGGCGACUCACGUCACGACCAGUGGUGGUUGAACUCUCAACUCUCGUGCUGUUGUGUCGUAUGGCGUCGAACGGUAGACAUUGUUGCAUACCCAAUGGUGUGAUAUAUUCAUGCUUUUGACCGCGACCCCA